AAAAAAAAAAAAAAAAAAAAAAAAAAAAACAGGGGAUGGGGGUAUUUCAUGCUGCAAACAAAAGCUACAUGCAAGGUUCAAAAUUUUGAUACUUCUGUGUACACUGUGCAUACAAAAAAGAAGAAUAUGAGUUGCACAUUUUGCUGCCAUAAACUGAGACGGUAAUGAUUGUGGUGAAGCUGUGUUCUAGUCUCUAUCAAACUGACCUUCACAUUGAAGUGUAAACAAAUUAGCUGCUUUUAUUUCUCCAAAAGUUCAGUUCAUCGGUCUAGUCCACGUUAAUGAUCUGAGUUGCUAGGUACUGGUUUGAACGAGGCAGAGCAGUUAUCUGUCUCUCAAAAUUCACUAAUAAUACAAGGGACGGAUGCUGCAUAAACGUUACGCCUAAGAAUUGAACCAUGACACAUGAUGAGUUGAAACAAAAAUAAAACAUAUGGUGUCAGAAGCACAUAAUCUUCUCCAUUGAUUAGUUUUGAAAUAGCUGCGUUUCAGUUUUGAUAUAGUCAAGCAACAGUAGAAAACAUAACUAAACUCCUCCAACAGUAGAAAACAUAAACAAUCAAGCAAUCUCCACUGGAAGAACUAUGAUAAUAGCCUUAACAGAGACAUAUCAAGAGUUCAUAUUCAACAAAUAGCAAAUAUGUCCACCUGAGGAAUGAGGAUAUUUAUCACUACAAGAACAUCUAGAAGUUCUUAAUUAUUACAUGUAGUUUCCUAUAUCAAAAGAAAUUGUCUAUGCUUAUAAACAAUCUGCAUAAUAUAUAUUGCGUAUUACAUUGAAGAGCCAGUUGAGAAGUCACUUUCUUUUUUGGAGAAGAAUUGAGGAACCUCAUCUGGAUUGAAUUGGCGGUGAAACAAUCUGAUAGCAAGUGAAAUGCAAUUAGCAGAAAAUUAAUCAGCAAUAUAAUGCGUGUCUCCAUAAACACUACACUAUGGUACUUAUUUAAUUAGAAAUUAAUGCAAACCAAAAUGCAACACCAGAAUUUUAUAAAUCAAGUCAAAAAUAUAAACAACAAGUAUAAUAUAGGAUAUUUAACACAAAACUACCAUUUAAAAGUACAAAUGAUAAAAUAGUCUUCAAAUGUUCCACAUGAUAAAAAAGUCACCAUUAAAACAUGUUACAAGAUAAGAUGGUUAUCUCAAAACAUCUUAAAUGAUAAAAAGAUAUUUUUUCACUCUUUUUACGUGACAAUUCUACCCUCCUUUCUAAUUUAACCCUAAACCUUUUUAACGAUAAAAAUAUCUCUCUCCUCUCUCUCACACACACAGUCUCUUUCUCUCUCACCCUAAAUUCGCCGUCGUCGUCAUCAUGAUGCAACCAGGCUCCGGCGGGCGUGGCUCUGUCGGCAAUGGUCCAGCAGCAGCAACCCCCCCUGCGCCCAUCCCUGCAACCAGGCUCCGGCGUGGCUCCGUCGCCAAUGGACCAGCAGUACGGCCAGCAGCAGCAGCCGCCCCUCGCCGCCCAGCCCUGCAACCAGGCUCCGGCGUGGCUCCGUCGGUAAUGGUCCAGCAGUACGGCCAACAGCAGCAGCAGCCGCCCCCCCGCCGCCUAGCCCUACAUGAUGAUGUCGCCGUCGCUACCCACCGUGCAGCCUCCUCCGGCGAUGUGGGCCCCUCAGUUGCACGUGACCCCACCUCCACCUUAGGUCCAGCCCGCCAGCGCUGAUGUGGUCCGCACUCUCUGGAUCGGCGACUUGCAGUACUGGAUGGAAGAGGCCUAUCUUUUCAAUAUCUUCGCCAGCACUGGCGAGGUUUGAUUCUUCUUCUUCUUUUGCUUCAAUUUCGUUCAAAGAUUCAAUUUCGUUCAGUUGUGAUUUUAUAAUGUUGAUACAAUAACUGUUGGAUUGAGUAGAAAGUAUGAGAUGAGUUCGUAAUGCUUUGACGACAAUACGAUGGUAUUUCUAGUUGUUAGGUAAUGGCUUAGAUUGUUUGUAACUCAAUGCAAUCUCAAUGCAAUGGCGUAUCUGAGGUUUUACUUGGUGGUGCACCAUUGAGAAUAUAGGGUUGAGCAGAGAAAAAUCCAACGACAAUUUUACAGAUAUCUUGGAUAAUUUUCAAAUUUUGAUUUUCAGAUGCACUUUCUGUGUUUUGAUUUUAGUGAUGAUGAUGAGUGUUCUGAAUUGGUUUGUUUGUGAAUUUUCUGAAAGAAUUGAGGUGCCUCUAUGGCUUGGUUAGGUGUAAUAGGUAGAAAAUUGUGUGUGUACAAAAGAAUAGUAGCUUGGUCUGCUUAAUUUUGCUGCUAUGAUCAUUUGCUAGUGGAGCUGCUUGCGUCUGUUUUUGAAUUUCGGUUUAGCAGCUGACCUGCUAACUUUCGGUUGAGCUCAAGUCUGCCUUAUGAUCUCGAUCAAAGGUUGUGUUGUGUGCUUGCUUGAUUGAAUUUUGAAAGCAGUAAAGCAAUAGUUUUAAGAAAGAAUCCCCACCUGACUUGUUUGUAAUGUCUACAUUCGGUUUAUUGGAGGAUGUGGUCGUUCUUUGAUGCUUGAAAUUAGUGAUACGUAGAGAGGUGGUGAGAGGGGAGAACGCUUUCUGAAUUUUUAUCUGUGAAUAAUUUUACGCAACUAACUUUUAUCAAUUUGCUACAGACAUGAGAGGAAAAAAGAGAUCGAAAACGGAAGCAAAAAAAUGAACCUUCUAACUAUGAAGAACAAGGCAACUUGGUAUGUCUUUGAUUUGGUUUUUUUGUUAUACAUUUUUAUGGUUUGUCAAUUGAACAUGCAAUACAGUAGCUGGUACUUGUGGUGGGGUUGGGGUUGGGGGGAUGUCUGGUGGUAUGCUAAUUUUUCAGCCGUCUAUGAGAAAGUAUGAAUGUAACUGAUAAUGUACCUAUUAAGUAGUUGGUAUGUAGCUAUUAAGAAACUUCCUCUGGUAUGUACAUAUUGAGCUGUGAAAUUGUCUAAUUAGUUCGUUCAGUUGUUCCCUUUGGGUCUUAUUGGUUAGUUUUGCUUUGGGUAUUGGGUUUAUUUUAUGUUUGUUGUUUUAGAAUAGCUGUAUCUUUUCUUCUGUUGAACUGUGUUGUUGUAUUUAAUAUUGCAUUCGGACUGUUAUUUCGCACGUAUGUAACUUGUCACAUCCCGACCCUUAUAUUUUUACCUUAUUUACUAGCGUGAUUAUAAUAAGAAUUUUACCGUCUCGAUCAUUGAGUAAACAGUUUAAUUGGUCCCUAGAGGGGUUUCGGGGACGAUUAUGAGCGGAGGAUUAUUAGUAUGAGGGAAAUACGACGACGGUAAAAAUGGUAAAUUUUAGCUAGUAAAAGGUAAUUUUUAUUCGGGUAUUAUUUUUCGGGGUGUUUUAUUUUUGGAAUUUGGGUUGAUAUAGGUUGGACCGGUUUGGGGUGUGAGGCCCAAACCCACUUUUUUUUUUCCUCCCGAUUUUCUCUCCUCACCCCUCCCGCUGCCCAGUUUUCCGGCCGUCCUCCCGCCGCCGUCCGGCCACCAACCGCCGCCGCACCGGUCCCGUUCGGUUGACCUCCAACCCAGCAACCUCCCUGGACCGGUGAGAGGAGCCCUAGCUCCGCCGUGAGAGAGCGGUGCCACCCGAAAGGUCCGACUGUCCAAAGCUUCN
rnacentral:lncRNA from 1 species